rnacentral:rRNA from 1 species
AUGGCCACCUUCGGGGAGCAGCAGAACGAGCAGGGGCACGCAGCGGUGGCGGCCAAGAGGCGAAUGGCGCAGCCGACCAAGAAGGCCAGGAAGCCAGAGUUCCUCGGCGAGCCCGUCCCCGCCGACGAAGCCUGCGCCAACUGGCCGCAGCGUUACCAGUGUGCCUCGCCCAUGAGGAUAACUGUACCAUACCCAUUCCAGUGGGAAGCACCGACUUUUCAUGCUGCUGAAUGCUUUGCCAUGAUGGCAGCUGCUUUUGUUGCUCUUGUGGAGCUGAAUAAAUGCAAAAUGCACGAUGAAAUUUUCUGUAGGGUGCUGCUGCGUACCGCCAUCAGCCGCAAAGACGGCAAGCUCAAGCAGAUUGCAAAGGAUGGCGAGGUUGAGCGUUUGAAAGUAGAAAGUCCAUAUCCACAGCGGCAUCAGCGCUUCGUCGUCGACCUCAUCCGCGACCGUCCUCGAGGUCGCCCAUGGCGGUCCGGUUGUUGGCUCGCCCGUGCUUUUGGCGCUGAUGCGGAU